AUCUUUCUAGUAUAAGUAAUAUGAGUGACUUCCAAUCACCCGAUCUUGGUUAGAAUCCAAGGAAAGAUA
rnacentral:tRNA from 1 species